UACGUAGGGGGCAAGCGUUGUCCGGAAUCAUUGGGCGUAAAGCGCGUGUAGGCGGUUCAGUAAGUCUGCUGUGAAAGUCCAGGGCUCAACCCUGGGAUGCCGGUGGAUACUGCUGGACUAGAGUGCGGAAGAGGCGAGUGGAAUUCCCGGUGUAGCGGUGAAAUGUGUAGAGAUCGGGAGGAACACCGGUGGCGAAGGCGGGUCUCUGGGCAUCUCCUGACGCUGAGGCGCGAAAGCGUGGGGAGCAAACGGG
rnacentral:rRNA from 1 species